rnacentral:rRNA from 1 species
GCAAGUCUACUUGAAGUUUACUUUAGGUGGCGAACGGGUGAGUAACGCGUAGAUAAUCUGCCCUUUAGUUUGGUAUAAUCUUUGGAAACGGAGUCUAAUACCGAAUAGUAUCAUUGGAGUUCAUGCUCCUUAGUUUAAAGAUCUAGAAUUGCUAAAGGAUGAGUCUGCGUGAUAUUAGCUAGUUGGUAAGGUAAAGGCCUACCAAGACAACGAUAUCUAGCUGGUCUGAGAGGAUGAUC